rnacentral:lncRNA from 1 species
CACUUUGUUCCAUCUCUGUUUCAGUCACCUGCUGAGAAAUGGUAGAAGAAUCAAAAUAUCAGUGUGUUGUCUUAGACUGAAAGUGAAACCCUGAAGGAAUCUGCAUCCGUCAGUCGAUUUCCAAGCCCUUUCCAAUGUAAAAACACCGCGAGCCAUGACUUUAGAAGUAAAAUAUCCAGAAUGCCUACCACACUGAGCUCCAGCCAUGGGCAACACCACGUCUAACACGUGAUUGUUCCUCACUGUCCUGGGUGUCCCCAGCAUUCACGCAAGGGCUUAGCAGUGGUUGUGAAUGCACCAGAGCAGGAGAACGCUAUGAUGCAAUUGGCCAACAUGCAAUUAUGAGAAAGGCUUUCCAGGGUCAUCCCCAAGAC